CAGCUGGAAUAGCUCAGUUGGUUAGAGCGUGUGGCUGUUAACCACAAGGUCGGAGGUUCAAGCCCUCCUUCUAGCGUUUAUCAUGUAAUUUUGAGGUUUAAUUCUUUUCAAAGGAACCAUUUAAAUUUAGUCUAGUUCAUAAUUCUAGAGAUUCAGAAACCAACUGAAUCGA